GAUGAACGCUGGCGGCGUGCCUAAUACAUGCAAGUCGAGCGAACAGACGAGGAGCUUGCUCCUCUGACGUUAGCGGCGGACGGGUGAGUAACACGUGGAUAACCUACCUAUAAGACUGGGAUAACUUCGGGAAGCCGGAGCUAAUACCGGAUAAUAUAUUGAACCGCAUGGUUCAAUAGUGAAAGACGGUUUUGCUUUCACUUAUAGAUGGAUCCGCGCCGCAUUAGCUAGUUGGUAAGGUAACGGCUUACCAAGGCAACGAUGCGUAGCCGACCUGAGAGGGUGAUCGGCCACACUGGAACUGAGACACGGUCCAGACUCCUACGGGAGGCAGCAGUAGGGAAUCUUCCGCAAUGGGCGAAGUCCUGACGGAGCAACGCCGCGUGAGUGAUGAAGGUCUUCGGAUCGUAAAACUCUGUUAUUAGGGAAGAACAAAUGUGUAAGUAACUAUGCACGUCUUGACGGUGCCUAAUCAGAAAGCCACGGCUAACUACGUG
rnacentral:rRNA from 1 species